rnacentral:rRNA from 1 species
UACAGAGGUCUCAAGCGUUGUUCGGAUUCAUUGGGCGUAAAGGGUGCGUAGGUGGCGCUGUAAGUCAGGUGUGAAAUUUCGGAGCUUAACUCCGAAACUGCAUUUGAUACUGCGGUGCUUGAGGACUGGAGAGGAGACUGGAAUUCACGGUGUAGCAGUGAAAUGCGUAGAUAUCGUGAGGAAGACCAGUGGCGAAGGCGGAUCUCUGGACAGUUCCUGACGCUGAGGCGCGAAGGCCAGGGGAGCAAACGGG